AUUAGGUCGUCUGAUGUACAUUAUCAGCCAGAAUAAGUCGUCUAAACCGGACCAAACCUUAAAGUUUACCAAUGUACUUUUAAAGCUAACCGGAUUAUUUACCCAAUAUAUAAGGUGAUUUUUUUUUUCAUUUUCCGCGAAAUUCAGAAACCCUAACAGUUCUCUCUCACCGGCGAUAUCAAAGGCGAUUCGAAUUCCCACUAUUUCCGAACAACCAUCGUUCUCAACGUCGGCUAUCUAUCUCACUUCAUUCUCACCGUUGUCGCCGCAGCUUAUUCUAACCCUAGCGCCGCCGAUUCCUCUAAACCCUAACGCCCCCGCUUCCACUAUUUCCGAACAAACCGUCGCCCUCGCCACCGUGCUCACCAACGUUCUCACCGCCGCUUCCUCUAAACACUAGCUAGCACCGCCGCUUCUUCUAAACCCUAGCGCCGCCGCUUCUUCUCUGUAAACCGUAGCGCCGUUUCUCUGUAAACCCUAACGCCGAUCUAUAACCACAAUGACGAGUACUCCAACUCCUUCUGCGACUAAUCAGACCCGCGUGAUCAACUUUGUUGAGAAGGACAUUAGUGAAAUGUGGCCAAAAUGGGACUCUGAGGUUGAGGACGUGCCCGCGGAGAACAUCAUUAAAGUCAUGUAUGAUCGGAGACCGUGGAAGUGGACCAUGGAUUGCUGGGAAGUCACUGGUACAAAACCUAAGUUUGUGACUCCAUCGAAAAGAGCCAAAGAGAUGG